GCUACUUCUUCCAGCAGCUGGUGUGCGGGGUGAGCUUCUGCCACGCCAUGAACAUCUGCCACCGGGACCUCAAGCUCGAGAACACGCUGCUCGACGGCAGCCCCGCGCCGCGCCUCAAGAUCUGCGACUUUGGAUACUCCAAGUCCUCCGUGCUGCACUCCAGGCCCAAGUCAACGGUCGGAACGCCGGCCUACAUCGCCCCCGAGGUCCUGUCGCGACGAGAGUACGACGGCAAGCACGCAGAUGUAUGGUCCUGCGGCGUCACGCUCUACGUCAUGCUCGUCGGAGCCUACCCGUUCGAGGAUCCAAAGGAUCCAAAGAACUUCAGAAAGACAAUCUCGGUCCCUAGUGCUACUCUUUUCUCUUAAUUUUCUGCAAUUGCAAAUGCUCCUUUCUUCUGAAAGGAAAUUUGCUUCUUUUUUUUUUUUUUCUGGCAGCG
rnacentral:lncRNA from 1 species